UACGUAGGGUGCAAGCGUUAAUCGGAAUUACUGGGCGUAAAGCGUGCGCAGGCGGUUUUGUAAGUCUGACGUGAAAUCCCCGGGCUCAACCUGGGAAUUGCGUUGGAGACUGCAAGGCUGGAGUCUGGGCAGAGGGGGGGUAGAAUUCCACGUGUAGCAGUGAAAUGCGUAGAGAUGUGAGGAACACCGAUGGCGAAGGCAGCCCCCCUGGGUCA
rnacentral:rRNA from 1 species